UACGUAGGGUGCGAGCGUUAAUCGGAAUUACUGGGCGUAAAGCGUGCGCAGGCGGUUCUAUAAGACAGAUGUGAAAUCCCCGGGCUCAACCUGGGAAUUGCGUUGGAGACUGCAAGGCUAGAAUCUGGCAGAGGGGGGUAGAAUUCCACGUGUAGCAGUGAAAUGCGUAGAGAUGUGGAGGAACACCGAUGGCGAAGGCAGCCCCCUGGGUCAAGAUUGACGCUCAUGCACGAAAGCGUGGGGAGCAAACAGG
rnacentral:rRNA from 1 species